rnacentral:rRNA from 1 species
AGUGAACGCUGGCGGUAGGCCUAACACAUGCCAGUCGAACGGCAGCACAGUAAGAGCUUGCUCUUACGGGUGGCGAGUGGCGGACGGGUGAGGAAUACAUCGGAAUCUACUUUUUCGUGGGGGAUAACGUAGGGAAACUUACGCUAAUACCGCAUACGACCUACGGGUGAAAGCAGGGGAUCUUCGGACCUUGCGCGAUUGAAUGAGCCGAUGUCGGAUUAGCUAGUUGGCGGGGUAAAGGCCCACCAAGGCGACGAUCCGUAGCUGGUCUGAGAGGAUGAUCAGCCACACUGGAACUGAGACACGGUCCAGACUCCUACGGGAGGCAGCAGUGGGGAAUAUUGGACAAUGGGCGCAAGCCUGAUCCAGCCAUACCGCGUGGGUGAAGAAGGCCUUCGGGUUGUAAAGCCCUUUUGUUGGGAAAGAAAUGCAGCAGGUUAAUACCCCGCUGUUCUGACGGUACCCAAAGAAUAAGCACCGGCUAACUUCGUG